rnacentral:rRNA from 1 species
UACAGAGGGUGCGAGCGUUAAUCGGAAUUACUGGGCGUAAAGGGCGCGUAGGCGGUAGAUUAAGUGAGAUGUGAAAUCCCCGGGCUCAACCUGGGAACUGCAUCUGUGACUGCAUCGCUGGAGUGCGGCAGAGGGGGAUGGAAUUCCGCGUGUAGCAGUGAAAUGCGUAGAUAUGCGGAGGAACACCGAUGGCGAAGGCAAUCCCCUGGGCCUGCACUGACGCUCAUGCACGAAAGCGUGGGGAGCGAA